AAACAUCGCCUCUUGCAAAAUUAAUAAAUAAGAGGUCCCGCCUGCCCUGUGACUAUUAGUUUAACGGCCGCGGUAUUUUGACCGUGCGAAGGUAGCGCAAUCACUUGUCUUUUAAAUGGAGACCUGUAUGAAUGGCAUAACGAGGGCUUAACUGUCUCCUCUUUCCAGUCAAUGAAAUUGAUCUUCCCGUGCAGAAGCGGGAAUACAAACAUAAGACGAGAAGACCCUAUGGAGCUUUAGACACCAAGGCAGAUCAUGUUAAUAACCCUAAAUAAAGGAUCAAACCAGAUGGAACCUACCCUAAUGUCUUUGGUUGGGGCGACCGCGGGGAAUUGAAAAACCCCCACGUGGAAUGGGAGCACCCCUCCUACAGCUAAGAGCCACAGCUCUAGUAAACAGAAAUUCUGACCAGUAAGAUCCGGCAAUGCCGAUCAACGGACCGAGUUACCCUAGGGAUAACAGCGCAAUCCUCUUUUAGAGCCCAUAUCGACAAGGGGGUUUACGACCUCGAUGUUGGAUCAGGACAUCCUAAUGGUGCAGCCGCUAUUAAGGGUUCGUUUGUUCAACGAUUAAAGUCCUACGUGAUCUG
rnacentral:rRNA from 1 species